GACGAACGCUGGCGGCGUGCCUAAUACAUGCAAGUCGAGCGAAUCAUGAGGUGCUUGCACCUCUUGGUUAGCGGCGGACGGGUGAGUAACACGUGGGCAACCUGCCUGUAAGACUGGGAUAACUUCGGGAAACCGGAGCUAAUACCGGAUAAUCCUUUUCCUCUCAUGAGGAAAAGCUGAAAGUCGGUUUACGCUGACACUUACAGAUGGGCCCGCGGCGCAUUAGCUAGUUGGUGAGGUAACGGCUCACCAAGGCGACGAUGCGUAGCCGACCUGAGAGGGUGAUCGGCCACACUGGGACUGAGACACGGCCCAGACUCCUACGGGAGGCAGCAGUAGGGAAUCUUCCGCAAUGGACGAAAGUCUGACGGAGCAACGCCGCGUGAGCGAUGAAGGCCUUCGGGUCGUAAAGCUCUGUUGUUAGGGAAGAACAAGUACCGGAGUAACUGCCCGUACCUUGACGGUACCUGGCCAGAAAGCCACGGCUAACUACGUGCCAGCCGCCGCUGUAAUAC
rnacentral:rRNA from 1 species